rnacentral:rRNA from 1 species
UACGGAGGGUCCAAGCGUUAUCCGGAAUCAUUGGGUUUAAAGGGUCCGUAGGCGGUUUAAUAAGUCAGUGGUGAAAGCCCAUCGCUCAACGAUGGAACGGCCAUUGAUACUGUUAAACUUGAAUUAUUAGGAAGUAACUAGAAUAUGUAGUGUAGCGGUGAAAUGCUUAGAGAUUACAUGGAAUACCAAUUGCGAAGGCAGGUUACUACUAAUAUAUUGACGCUGAUGGGCGAAAGCGUGGGGAGCGAACAGG